GAUGAACGCUAGCGGCAGGCUUAACACAUGCAAGUCGAGGGGUAGGAUUCUUCGGAAUUUGAGACCGGCGCACGGGUGCGUAACGCGUAUGCAAUCUGCCUUCCACAGAGGGAUAGCCCAGAGAAAUUUGGAUUAAUACCUCAUAGCAUAAUAAGCUGGCAUCAGCUUAUUAUUAAAGUCACAACGGAGGAAGAUGAGCAUGCGUCCCACUAGCUAGUUGGUAAGGUAACGGCUUACCAAGGCGACGAUGGGUAGGGGUCCUGAGAGGGAGAUCCCCCACACUGGUACUGAGACACGGACCAGACUCCUACGGGAGGCAGCAGUGAGGAAUAUUGGUCAAUGGGCGCAAGCCUGAACCAGCCAUGCCGCGUGCAGGAUGACGGUCCUAUGGAUUGUAAACUGCUUUUGUACGGGAAGAAACACUCCGACGUGUCGGAGCUUGACGGUACCGUAAGAAUAAGGAUCGGCUAACUCCGUGCCAGCCGCCGCAGUAAAAC
rnacentral:rRNA from 1 species